UACGUAGGGGGCAAGCGUUGUCCGGAUUUAUUGGGCGUAAAGAGCGUGUAGGCGGUUAUACAGGUCCGUUGUGAAAACUCGAGGCUCAACCUCGAGACGCCGGUGGAAACCGUAAAGCUAGAGUCCGGAAGAGGAGAGUGGAAUUCCUGGUGUAGCGGUGAAAUGCGCAGAUAUCAGGAGGAACACCCGUGGCGAAAGCGGCUCUCUGGGACGGUACUGACGCUGAGACGCGAAAGCGUGGGGAGCAAACAGG
rnacentral:rRNA from 1 species